AUAAAAGGCAGUCCCCUAUACACACUCUCUUGCCUGCCACCAUGUAAGACACAACUUUUCUUCUCCUUUGCCUUCUGCCAUGAUUGUGAGUCCUCCCCAGCCAUCUGGAACUGGAACUGACGUCAUGCCAGUAUUUUCUACACUCACCCAGCAUCAGAAGAGCAUAUAUGUUGAAAGAAAAGGUCAACGUAUUCUGUCAUCCCUGGUUCCAGGUUCCUUACAGCAAAAGCAAUAAAGGAUGCAGGAGUGGUGUUUCCCUCUUCAAUCUCCUACCUUGCCAACCACCCAGCACCUUAGAUACUACAGCGUGGGGCUAGAGACUCAAUCUGGGGAAUUUGCUUUCACCCUGGAGGCAUCAUGACUGAGAAACCAUGAAUGCAAUCAACAAAACAAGAAGAAAUUCAAGUUAUUUCAAACAUAUGAGGAAAUUAUAAAAAGCAACAACAAAAGCAGCAUUAAUAACAAUAUAUGUUGUACACUGUCUUAUUCAAUACUUUAAAAAAAAAUAAAAGGUAAGUGUCAGCAGUUCUCAAAGUGUGAUUCAAGGACCCUAGGGGGGUGUCUGAGACUGUUAGAAAGCUUGCUAGGUUUUCCUUUCCUAACUGUCUUUAAAACUGCAUUUUCUUCAUAAAUUUCAACCAAAACAACAUAUCACAACUGUUUGAAUGUGGAUACAUAUAUGAGAAUCUAGCUUUCUUUCUGUCAAACAAGAUAUUAAAAGAGAUUUUCAAAACUGUGGGCCGGGUGCAGUGGCUCACGCCUGUAAUCACAGUACUUUGGAAGGCCGAGGUGGG
rnacentral:lncRNA from 10 species